GAGUGAACGCUGGCGGUAGGCCUAACACAUGCAAGUCGAACGGCAGCACAGUAAGAGCUUGCUCUUACGGGUGGCGAGUGGCGGACGGGUGAGGAAUACAUCGGAAUCUACUUUUUCGUGGGGGAUAACGUAGGGAAACUUACGCUAAUACCGCAUACGACAUACGGGUGAAUGCAGGGGAUCUUCGGACCUUGCUUGAUUGAAUGAGCCGACGUCGGAUUAGCUAGUUGGCGGGGUAAAGGCCCACCAAGGCGACGAUCCGUAGCUGGUCUGAGAGGAUGAUCAGCCACACUGGAACUGAGACACGGUCCAGACUCCUACGGGAGGCAGCAGUGGGGAAUAUUGGACAAUGGGCGCAAGCCUGAUCCAGCCAUACCGCGUGGGUGAAGAAGGCCUUCGGGUUGUAAAGCCCUUUUGUUGGGAAAGAAAAGCAGCAGGUUAAUACCCCGCUGUUCUGACGGUACCCAAAGAAUAAGCACCGGCUAACUUCGUG
rnacentral:rRNA from 1 species